UACGUAGGGUGCAAGCGUUGUCCGGAAUUAUUGGGCGUAAAGAGCUCGUAGGCGGCCAGUUGCGUCCGCUGUGAAAUCCCGGGGCUUAACCCCGGGCGUGCAGUGGAUACGGGCUGGCUAGAGGCAGGCAGGGGAGAACGGAAUUCCCGGUGUAGCGGUGAAAUGCGCAGAUAUCAGGAGGAACACCGGUGGCGAAGGCGGGUCUCUGGGCCGUAACUGACGCUGAGGAGCGGAAAGCGUGGGGAGCGAACAGG
rnacentral:rRNA from 1 species